UACGUAGGGUGCAAGCGUUGUCCGGAAUUAUUGGGCGUAAAGAGCUCGUAGGCGGUUUGUCGCGUCUGCUGUGAAAACCCGAGGCUCAACCUCGGGCCUGCAGUGGGUACGGGCAGACUAGAGUGCGGUAGGGGAGAUUGGAAUUCCUGGUGUAGCGGUGGAAUGCGCAGAUAUCAGGAGGAACACCGAUGGCGAAGGCAGAUCUCUGGGCCGAUACUGACGCUGAGGAGCGAAAGCGUGGGGAGCGAACAGG
rnacentral:rRNA from 1 species